CAAUCGAACUCGGAGAUAGCUGGUUCUCCUCGAAAUAGCUUUAGGGCUAGCCUUGAGGUAAAACAUGUGGGGGUAGAGCACUGAAUGAUUUAGGGGCCAAACCAGGUUACCGACAUCUAUCAAACUACGAAUACCAUGUGGAAGUACUCAGGAGUCAGACUGCGGGAGCUAAGUUCCGUGGUCAAAAGGGAAAGAGCCCAGACCGACAAUUAAGGUCCCAAAGAGAUAGUUAAGUGGAAAACGAUGUGAAAAUGCAAAGACAACCAGGAUGUUGGCUUAGAAGCAGCCAUACAUUAAAAGAGUGCGUAACAGCUCACUGGUCGAGUGAAUUUGCGCGGAAAAUUACCGGGGCUAAACUAUCCACCGAAAUUGCGGAUUGUAGUACAUUUAACAAUAUGUAUAGGAAAGAAUAUAUAUUGUUAAGUGUACUGCAGUGGUAGAGGAGCAUUCUGUAGUAGGAAGAAGCUAAAGCGAAAGCAUUGGUGGACGAGACAGAAGAGAGAAUGCUGGAAUAAGUAGCGAGAGCAAGGUGAGAAUCCUUGCCGUCGAAAGUCUAAGGUUUCCUGGGGAAGGUUCGUCCGCCCAGGGUAAGUCGGGACCUAAGGAGAGGCCGAGAAGGCGUAUCUGAUGGAUAGCAGGUUGAAAUUCCUGCACUACCGAUACUUUUAAAAACGUCAAGGGACGCAGGAGAGGAAGGAAAGCGAGGAAGAGGAAAAACUCGUAUCGAAAGAUAUAGUGAAAAUAAAAGUAACGAAAUUCCAAGAAUCACACUGACGAGAAAAGCUUGAUGACAUUAAGUAGAGGUACCCGUACCGCAAACCGACACAGGUAGAUGAGGAGAGGAUCCUAAGACGAACGGGAGAAGCAUUGUUAAGGAACUCGGCAAAAUGACCCCGUAACUUCGGGAGAAGGGGAGCCUAAGUAAAAUUAGGUCGCAGAGAAAAGGCCCAAGCAACUGUUUAACAAAAACACAGGUUUCUGCUAAAUCGAAAGAUGAAGUAUAGGAGCUGACGCCUGCCCAGUGCUGGAAGGUCAAGGGGAGAUGUUAGAAGAAAUUCGAAGCAUAGAACCAAAGCCCCAGUGAACGGCGGCCGUAACUAUAACGGUCCUAAGGUAGCGAAAUUCCUUGUCAGGUAAGUUCUGACCCGCACGAAAGGCGUAAUGAUUUGGGCACUGUCUCGACAAUGUACCCGGCGAAAUUGUAGUACUAGUGAAGAUGCUAGUUACCUGCGACAAGACAGAAAGACCCCAUGGAGCUUUACUGUAGUUUGAUAUUGGGUUUCGGUAAUUUAUGUACAGGAUAGGUGGGAGACAAAGAAGGAUAGGCGUCAGCUUAUCUGGAGUCAACGUUGGGAUACCACUCUUAAGUUAUUGAAAUUCUAACUUGUGAUCAUAAACUGGUCAGAGGACAAUGUCAGACGGGCAGUUUGACUGGGGCGGUCGCCUCCAAAAGAGUAACGGAGGCGCCCAAAGGU
rnacentral:rRNA from 1 species